UCUUCUUUUCUUGCCUUGGGGUGGAACCCAGGGUCUUGCACAGGCCAGCGCUGAGAGACAUCUUCAGCCCGGGUUCUGGCUCUCCAGCUUUGCAUGCACUCGGGAUCCGUCCUCACGCGCAUCCCUGGAUGCGGGCCUUCACCCAACUUUAGGACAAGGUGUAGGAGCCCGGGCGCCCCCUCCCUCCCACGGACAGCUGGAGGCUGAGUCACUAGCUGCCUCUCAGGAGACAAAGGAAACAGUGGGCCCUCCCUUCAGACCCCCUCCUGGUACCGGCAUUUGUACUAGCGGGGAGCCCAGCAUGGAGGAAGUGGAAGAAGCAGGCACAGAGGGGAUCGAAACGGGGUGGUGGAGACACCGACCCUCACGGGACUAUUCCGGACUGCUUUGAUCUCCGCGCGUCAGUUCCCGCACGUGUAAAAACCGGGAAGCGCCCGUCGCAGGCUCCCAAUGUCCGAGGUAAAAGUCCCGGGAGUUUUACGCUGAGCCGCCUGGAGCUCUAGUUCGGAGGAAUAUUUUGGGGAGGGCUUGGAGAGGGGCCCUGGUG
rnacentral:lncRNA from 1 species